UACGAAGGGGGGCUAGCGUUGCUCGGAAUCACUGGGCGUAAAGGGCGCGUAGGCGGAUCUUUAAGUCGGGGGUGAAAGCCCAGGGCUCAACCCUGGAAUUGCCUUCGAUACUGGAGAUCUUGAGACCGGAAGAGGUAAGUGGAACUGCGAGUGUAGAGGUGAAAUUCGUAGAUAUUCGCAAGAACACCAGUGGCGAAGGCGGCUUACUGGUCCGGUUCUGACGCUGAGGCGCGGAAAGCGUGGGGAGCAAACAGG
rnacentral:rRNA from 1 species